GGCAGCAAGUGGCAUCAUCCCCAUUUUACAGAUGAGGAAACUGAGGUUCAGAAACGUAGAGGCUCAUGGUAAUUCCAUAACUUGUAAGUCACGUGGGUAGCAAAAGUGAAAUUUGAACCCAGAUCUGUCCCACUCUAGAGGCCACCCUGUCGUGCAGGUGACACGGCCUUUAAGGACAGACGGACACACACGUGGCUGGACACGCUAACGGGAAGCUGGGGCCGAGCGCUGCCCACUCACCGGUCGGGGAUGCAGCUACAGUGGCUGGGGGUUGCAUGUGGGGAGCUGCUGGAGGAGCAGGAGAGGCAGGAGGAGCCCUGACUGCACAGGGGCUCCAGGUGCCAGGCUGGCAGGCUGGGCCCAAAGCCCUGCAUCUCGAUCAUGUCACCAGCGUCUGCGGGCAGGAAGGGUGGCAUGGUCAGGGCCUGAGACACCUUCUCUCCCAGGCACCCUGCACCAUGCCCACCUCUGUGCCCAGAGCUGCAGCAUCAAGUCACCCAUGGGUGGAAAAUCACAGAGGUGGGGCCUGCCUGGUCCAGAGCCCAGAGAUGGAAACGGUAGGGAGAGAGGGCGCCUGACACUUCCUAGCCUCCAGCAAGCCUGGAGAGGGGCGCAAGGCGUCCUUCUGCAUGUGGUAAAAUGCUUGGACUGAGUCUUGGAUGAUUGUGCCUAGCUCUAUCCUGCGACCAGCAAGCACUUGCUUUUCUAGAGGGAAGGGAAAGAAAGAGAAGGAACAAAGACCUGAGCUCCUCAAAGCCACCAGCUAGCUCAGCCUUCACGGAUUCAGCUCGGUCCUCUUGGCAAACUCUGAGAUGCUCAAGGAGGUCUUUGGAAUACUUCCAACUCUGAACGCUCCCCUCCAGGGAGUCCCCACUGUUCAAAGCCCCCGAGGAAUCUGAGUCACCUGCCCGUAGGCCUGGCUCUUCUGGGGGAGUCUAGAUCUGGUGGCCAGUGGCUACGGAUGAGCAGUGCCCCGUGCCCAGGCCAGGUACCCCUGCUGUCAGCUCCUAUGGCCCCUUUCUGAGCUCUGCUCCAUCCCUGCCUAGCCUGACAGCAGUUAGCAUGGUGGCCUCCCGAAAACACCAGGGAGCUGGAUGGAAGUCACAGGUCCCAGGACUACGAGGCCACUGCGGGGCCGGGAGUGGUGGCUGGGCACAGAGGCCCACUAUCCAAUGUGACAGAGAAGAACAGGCCCAGUUGCAGCCUCAGAAGAUGACUCCUUAGACACAGCUACGCUGCCAGCGACAGGGCCUGCCCAGCCAGCCCAGGCGGUCUGAAUCAGAACUCAAGACCCUCGAGAGCUUCCACGGCCCACGUGGGGCAGGGCACUGCUUAAGGGGGACUCUGGCAGGUCCAGGGAGCCACAGACAUGAAGCAAAGUGAGAGAGGAAGUGGAAGCACUGGGGGGUGAUGCCGGGAGGGAGGGAGAGAGUGGAGAAGAGUUCGGAAGAACAGGGAUGGAGAGCCGUGUGUGCUGAGGGAGUCCUGUCAGCAGCAGUUUGCUCGGCUGGCUCAGCCUGGGCCGGGGCCCACUGUGGCCUGCCGCAGGCGUGGGCCUGGCUUUGGUGGGAGCUGGACUCCAGCUCUGGGUGUGCCUUGGUGAGGAGGGCUGAGCUGAGCCCCUUCCGGUUCCCUCAGCGGUUGCCCUGCCUUGGCCGGGGCUCUCUUCCCAGACCCACGGCCGGGAGUUUUGCAGAUAUCUGGCCCUUCAGCUCCACCAGGAGGCAAAUUAAGGGAACACGCGUGGAAGGAGCUGAACCAGCCACAUUCGAACACUGUCUCUGAGCGAGCCCAGUGCAGAUAGCUGGGGCUAUGGCGUGACUGGGAAAAGGAAAGGGUUUUCCCAGAGCUGUCCUCAAGGAGCUGGAGUCGCUUGGUGGAGUUUCAGCCUCUGGGUGCCCUGGCUUGCCCUUGGCGAGGUGGUCCUGGAAGUGAAGUGACCAGGACUGGGAAAUGGCAAAGAUCGAAGAGGGGAGGCAGAGACUGGAGAAGCUAAACCAAGCAACAGCCUGAGACUAAGUGCCAAGUGUGUAAAUACAUUCUGGCCAAAGAUGCGUCUCUUUGUCAGGUACAUCUGGGAAGGGGGGACAUCCCUGUGCCGUGUGCCCUCUGAGCCUGGUGGAGCUAUCUGUGCUGUGGCUGAGUGUGCCGUCUGGGCAGUCCGGUCCCUAAUACAGAGACAACUUGUUGACAACUUUUUGGCACAAGUUGGAAAUUUAGGGAGCGGGUGGUCUUGUUAGCAAUAAACGCUCUGGGCUGGCAAA